rnacentral:misc_RNA from 1 species
UUCUUUUGCAAUAAAUAUUCUUGACAUUUUCCUAAUAUCUAAUUGUUCAGAUUAUGUAUACUGUCACCCUUCUCCGUUGGACUCAUCUUAUCACAAUUUCAUAGGUGCAUCUUCUCCUAUCGCUUCAGUUUUUCCUUGGGGUUUCCUAUAGCGGAGGUGUGACUGGCAAUUUGCCUCUGCUAGCUGGGGAAACCAGUUGAAAUAUUAUUCUUAUUUUCCUUGGAAUAGAUGGUAUUUCAGAGACCAUCAGUGUGCUAAACGCAUAACAUAGGUGAUAAUGUCUGACACAGAGAUGUGCACUACAUUCAUCCCCUUCACUUGUACUAAACCUUCCGAACUUUGGUUUAACACAGCCAGUUCUUGUGCUAUACACGAUAGAGAUGCAUCUCACAAACGAAAUUUGAGCCUUCCAUCACCAGAAUCAAUGAACUUUAUUUUCUGCCUGAAAUCAUGCCAAGUCUGUUUCUCCAGCUGACCAAACAAUUUUUCAUCUACAGAAAAAUUAUGGCACUUCUUUGGAAUUUCUUUAUAAAUCUGCUGCUCUUCCACUUGUCACUGACGGACGGGAAGGCAUAACGGUUCCAUUCUGAUCUGACUUUGAGUUUAAAUUUUGAAUUUGAGUUUGACCUUUCUGAAAUCAGAGGACACAUGUGUGUGUGUGUGUGUGUGUGUGUGUGUGAGAGAGAGAGAGAGAGAGAGAGAGAGAGAGAGAGAGAGAGAGAGAGAGAGAGAGAGAGAGACCACUGGAGGGGACAGACGUGUGAGUGAGGCUCCUGCUUGUGGUGUGUUUUUUCGUGUGGGUGACGAGUGUGUGAGCAUAAGGAAGUGCAUCAGAGUUGUAGCUCAGCUCGGGCUAUGCAGUGUUAAGUGCAGUAGAAGAAAAGUGCUAUAGUGCAUCAGAAAAUAGAAUUAACUCAAAAUGAAGCGACUAGCAGUGAGUGUGUGUGCACGUGAGUAAACCUAUCCGCCCGUGACCUGACACACCUGAUGCCACACUCAGGCCACCUGUCCAAAAUUCCCUAAGGAGAUAUAAACACACCCUCCUGCCUCCCCACUCCCUGGUUUUGCGGCCUCUCUCUCCCCUCCUCUGCUUCACUUAAACCACUCACCACCUCUCGGCAGUGGUAGUAGUGUACGCCCAUAAUGGCAACACACCGAAAAAUUGUGAGGAUUGAAUACCCUGGAUAUAGGCCACGAAGAUGGUGUGCUGUUUGUGGCUUGUCAGCCUCAAAAAGCGAUCCCUACAUUUGCUGCGAUGGCGAAACAGACUGUCACAAUGUGUGCCACAUCACAUGCCUGGGUGACAGGGAUGUGCACACGUGUGAAGAAACCCAGCAGCUGCGCCAUGAGGUUAACAUAGAUACAGGGGUGCUCUACGAAAACGGAGAUAUCGAGGAAGCACCUGACACUCCAGCACCCCCCCCUCCUACCUCCCCUACAGAUGACAUCGACGCUCCAACCUUCAGUGAAGACGUGGACAAUGAAAGGCAGGAGUACAUGACGAUGGAUAAAGAGGAACUUAUAUCCCGCACUUUACGCCUAAAACAAGAAGUGAUGGAAAACAAGAGCACUAUCCAAUCACUCUCAUUACAGCGUGACUGGAUAAUAGAGAAAAAAGCUCAGGUGAUGGAUAUUUUAGAAUUCAUCGAAACAAUAAGCGACGCGAGAGAUGCUGACACGAGAAGGACCACCCGCACCAUAGAUAGUACCUCUGCCAACGCAUCAUGGAUAGAUAAGUCAUGGGCGAAGGUAUGCAGCUCACCGGAGAGGUGGAAACAAUGGUGGGAGUCAGAUAACACGAAGCGUCUUCCUCCCAGCCGCCUUGGAUUAACUCCUCCCACCCACACCACCGCCACCGACACCUCAUCCACAGUCGCUGUUGUUACCAUCUCCUCUGAUUCCCAUACUCCUGCCAACAACAGCAGCACCGCAAGUUCCGCCAGCUCUACCUCAUCUACAGUCUCCACAUCAACCUCAUGCCUCCACCACAGCACAACAACCUGGCAGCAAUUAAAAAUCCUACAAACAUGUCAGGUGAACGGAGGCAACAACCAAAAUCAAAACCUCACGUGGGCAGAGGCGCGAGAACGCCACACGGUAGGUCUCCACCUGCCAGCCAAAAUGCUCCCCGACCUAAACCACACCACCGCUCUCCCUCAUCCUAGGGCCGAAGAAAGUGUGAAUAUUGCAUGCGUCCAGGACAUUCAAGGGAACAGUGCUUCACACGAGCAGCAGACGUCAGACAGGAAGCCAUCCUGAGGAGGGUAUUAGCUGAAGGGAGGAGAAAUGGGAAUUCCCAUCACCCAAACCUACAACCUCAAGAGCCCUUUCGAGGUGAACCUAGGUGGCAACAAGGACAACGGGAGAAGCAGCUAAGUUACCAGCAGGGAUGGACCCAGGCCCCCUGGAAGGGAGAGUAUUAACAUUAACAACAAUAACCCACCAAUAUACAGGAACAUCAGCCACGCCCCGCAUCUCACAGUUGUGUCCGCCAAUGUCAGAGGGCUUCGUAGCAACGUUGGGGAUCUCUCUCACAACUUUGUAUUACGUCAAAAAGUUGAUAUUGUAGCAGUCAGUGAAACGUGGCUGAAUGACUUAGAGGAACCAACAUUCGGAAAGAUAAAUGGAUAUACCAAUUGGGUGAGGAAGGACCGAGAAGGCAGAGUUGGUGGAGGUGUGGCUGUUUGUUUAAAAAAUGACCUCCAUACCCAAGAACUGUCAGAUGAUGGAAGCACUAUUCUUCCAAAUACCGCUGACAGACAAUAGUGACUUGCUGCUCUGUUUAUUAUACCACUCGCCCAGGCAAGGUUCUUGGCGGAGGAACUGGACAACUUGCUCCAACACCACUGCUACAACAGUGUCCUCAUUGUUGGAGAUUUAAAUUUCCACUUGGAGCAGCAAGCAUACAACAAUUUAGUGACAGUGUUGGGCCUCACCAACCACGUCACAUUCAUACCCACGAAAGGGGAGGGCUGCUCGACCCAAUGUUAUCAGACCUUUCUGAGGAAAGAAUCUCAUGUCAACAGCUGGGUAAAGUGGGGAGCUCUGACCUCCAUGCCGUGCUAACGAAGAUACACCUGCAUAUGGCGAGGGAAAGAGCUGCACCUUGAACCAUCUGGCUGUGGGAGCAGGCCAGAUGGCAAGACAUGAGGGACGAACUGGCAACCACAGACUGACAGGCGACGCUCUCAGGAAACGCGGAGAAGGCUCGCGCCGUCACCUCACUGUUAUUGCCGGAGAGAGAGAGAGAGAGAGAGAGAGAGAGAUGAACGAAGGAGGGAAGGACAUAGGCUUGAGGAUGAUAGUGCGAAGAGAGGGAGAGAAGGUAUUGUGCUGACCUGGUAGGAAUCACCCCAGCCGAAGUCAUAGAGGUCAGAUAUGAUAUGAAAGACUCUACACAAGAGACAUGUGUAGGGGCCCCUCGACUCCACCUUGGGGCAGAAACACUUGUACUGUGGGCGUGAACGGACGUUCUGCGCCGAGCGUAAUACCUACAGGAGCCUAAAGACCCGUCAACACAUAUGAGUCAGACAAGUCGGCAGCAAGUAUUCUGGCCGUACUUCAUGCUGAUGAGGUGUGCCGGCUUCAAGCUGAUUCACACCCGAGAUGCAGGUGGCUGGAGGGAGGUGGUGUGGGCGCGAGAUUUCUGACGAUUGA